AAUAUCAAAACCUACAGUUUGGAUGCCCUUGAGUGAAAUGAGCGCCAUUGCCACCCUGAAGGACCUUCUGUCACGUUACAUUGCUGACAGUGAUGAUGCAGACUGCAGUACACUACCCAGCAGGGGUCAGAGGUCAUGCGAGCGGGGUGACUGCAGAUUGUAUGCCCUGACACAGUGACUGACAGAUGGAUAUGUCUCUGCAGCACAGGGUUCUGAGCAGGGGAUAUCUGUCGAAGUUUACAACAAAAUCAAUUCAACUGGAAUGCUAUGCGACGUCAUUAAACAGACAACUGACUCUGUUGAGGGAAUUGUGGGAGAUGAUGUCCUCUGGGGCUCGGAUGUUGUCCCGCAUCUGCUUUGCUCUGCUUUGCUCUUGAGAAGUCAUUGAGCGAGUCGGAGAGGAGUCCAGGCAGAUGAAAUCUUCUUUGCGUUGUCUUAAACUGCUCAGCUCCACAGCAUUAAGCAUCCUUUCUGUCUAAUGAGCGUCUGCACAGCGAGGAGAAGCGUGUCGACUCUCCGCUCGCCUGUCAUUAACGUGCAGUCAGACGGGACACAGGACGGGCUGAAAUGGAGAAAUAAUAGGCAAUUUAGCAAUGCGUGGAGAGACGAGGGGGAUGAGAGGGAGGGCAGGGUCAUCCCUUGCUCUGUUUUUUGGGGAUCCUUUCCUGUCAUCCCUGCAGAGCCGUGGACGGGUAAUGAGGAGUCGCCUGCUGCAUAAAUAGCCUUAAAAUAGAAAGAAGGAAUAAAUAACUUUAAUAGAACAGAAUCGGAGAUGGAAGGAAAUGGAUGAAGUAGGCGGCUGUCCAGCUCACCGCAAGCCCUGUCCCUUUUUCCGGCCUUUUUCCUUUUCUCCUUACUCAUCCAUAGAACCACUGGACAAGGCACUGACUGAACAGUCAAAAAUGAGUGAAAAAAGUGUCGCUGUCAUUGGUUGGGUUACACCAACUGAGGUGUUUCUUGACUUGCCAUGUAAAGUUCACAAUAGGGGCUCAGUAACUAGUUAGUCUCUUAAUUUGGUUUUACUUUUUGUUCUUAAAUUUGACAUGAAAUGGAAGUUGCAGUUGUCUUUUCUUCUCUAUUGUGAUACAAGCAAAACGGCUUAUCAUACAGGAAAACAUGUAGGGCAGGACUUGAUUUUGUCCAAUGAGAAUUGAUUGGAUCGUUGACAGGUUGUCCCGCCCUCAUGUCAGUAAUCAUAUCAUCAGAGAAGCGAAGUCACAGCAAAAGCACAUUAAUUUCUUGUUUAUUCCAGAACAUUUGAUAUUUUGUCUUGAUUAUCUUUGAACUGAUGAUAAAUUUACCUGACAUAAUAAAUUGUUACAUGAUCAAGCGCGAGUUUACAACUCGAGAGGGUUUUCAUGAUGCGUCAUCAAUCUGGAAGUCGGCCAUUUUGGAGGCACUGAACAUAAACAAUGCCGAACGGAAAACUGAACGGACUCGCAAAUUUGGCUGAUUAUUUCUGCUGAAAAAUUGUUUGAGUUUUGGUCUGUACUAAUCGUUGCAUCAGGAAAAAAACAUUUUGAGUUCUUUAGACUGCCAAAGGUUAAAAAGAAGAGUGCAAAAAAACUGAUGAAGGAAGGCGAUGUUGUCUUAUUUAAAUUUUACAAAAUGGAAAUAUGUAGCUGCCGUGCUGGACUAUACAAUACUGGGUAUUGAGCUGCAGAACUGUAGGAGGCUGUUAUGUACAGCUUUUUUCCAUGCUCUUGUCUGCGCCGGUUUCAAAAUAUGUUUUAGAAAUAAUAAUUUUCUGCUCGUCCGGCACUUUGCAACAACACAGCAUUGUUUCGGCAAUGACCUGUAGCAUGUUUCCUCUAACAACCUCUGACAUUUACAUUUUGCAUGGUGUGAGAGUCACAUACCACCCGAAAUUU